rnacentral:rRNA from 1 species
UACGUAGGGCGCAAGCGUUAUCCGGAAUUAUUGGGCGUAAAGAGCUCGUAGGCGGUUUGUCGCGUCUGCCGUGAAAGUCCGGGGCUCAACUCCGGAUCUGCGGUGGGUACGGGCAGACUAGAGUGAUGUAGGGGAGACUGGAAUUCCUGGUGUAGCGGUGAAAUGCGCAGAUAUCAGGAGGAACACCGAUGGCGAAGGCAGGUCUCUGGGCCACUACUGACGCUGAGAAGCGAAAGCAUGGGGAGCGAACAGG